UACGUAGGGGGCAAGCGUUGUCCGGAAUCAUUGGGCGUAAAGAGCGUGUAGGCGGCUUUACAGGUCCGCUGUGAAAACUCGAGGCUCAACCUCGAGACGCCGGUGGAAACCGUAAAGCUAGAGUCCGGAAGAGGAGAGUGGAAUUCCUGGUGUAGCGGUGAAAUGCGCAGAUAUCAGGAGGAACACCCGUGGCGAAAGCGGCUCUCUGGGACGGUACUGACGCUGAGACGCGAAAGCGUGGGGAGCGAACAGG
rnacentral:rRNA from 1 species